AACCAUUGGCGUUGUGAGGAGACUCUGUCUGGGCCGGAGCACGGCCUGUCCACUGGGACACAGAGAUGCCAGUGAUGGAGGGACAGUACUCCGGCUGGCGUGGAUGGGACAGUGGAGUGGAUGUCAAGGGAGAGGCCGGAGCUGUGCUGACACUCUCAGCUAAGGGCUCGGACCUCUUCUAAUAGACCGUUACUGAAUUCAAGACUUUUCAGCCACAGGAGGAACAGGGUAGGCACAGAAUAUGAAGAAACAGAUUUACAUUUUCUAGGAUUUAAUUUUUGUAUAUGUUUUUUUUUUACUUUUUGUCAAAUAAAAAUGUAACCUUUUUGUACUCGUAAUAUUCUAUCAUGUUUGGUUUCCAGAAUCAUCAAACUUGUAUUUGUGUGGUUGUGGAACUGUAAGGGAAGUGAAUAGAAUACAUUGAAAGUGGAUUUUAAUACCUAUUUCAUAGAUUUCAAUUGGAAUGGGCUCCAGUGGUCUAGGUAACCCCC
rnacentral:lncRNA from 1 species